CGAUGGUUGCUGUUGCACUUGUUCUUUACGGCACGAUAAAGUUUCUUUCCUGGACAUUCAGCUCUUCUGACUCCAGUGACACAGAUUUAAAGGAUAAGAAGGAGAAGUAAAUCUGGACCUGGAGGGGAUUUUAAAGGCUGAAUAGAGUGCAGAGAAACUGGUCUUGUAAAAAACCUUUGAGAAUAGUUGUAUGUGUGGUGUUUCAGUCUUUGCUUAAGAUUUUUAGACUGCUGUACAUGUGUUCGGGUUGGUUUUGCUGUGCAAGAUUUUUGUAUUUUUAUUUAAAGAUUUUAAAUGUCAGUUGUAGAAAAUGCU